ensembl:miRNA
CCGGCCUACUUGGGGCUCCGAGCCGCUGCCGCAUACAUUAGCGCCGCCGGCCGCACCGCCGUCACCUUCAGCGCU